CGGACGGGUGAGUAAUGCUUAGGAAUCUGCCCAAUAGUGGGGGACAACUCGGGGAAACUCGAGCUAAUACCGCAUACGCCCUACGGGGGAAAGCAGGGGAUCUUCGGACCUUGCGCUAUUGGAUGAGCCUAAGUCGGAUUAGCUUGUUGGUGAGGUAAAGGCUCACCAAGGCGACGAUCCGUAGCUGGUCUGAGAGGACGAUCAGCCACACUGGGACUGAGACACGGCCCAG
rnacentral:rRNA from 1 species